ACUUAUGAGGUCACCUAUGAUAUCAGAAUCAAGAGCAAUUUCUGCUUGCAAAAUAAAGGGGAAAACAAGAUGCACUGGCUCCAUGGAGUUAUAUACAUCCCAUCCUAAAAUUUACUGAGAUAAUGAAGGAAACAAAAUAUUCACCUCCAUAAAGUGUCUGGCAGUUUGUAAGGGAAGAGAAAUAUAUGAAAAUAUUAAAGCCUAGGUGCACAUGUGGGAAAACUCAAUGCAAGAUCUUAAGUUCUACAAAGCUGCAACUGCACAAAAGCAACACAACCAUCUGACCAAGGCUAUUGAAGAACAGUCUGAAGCAAGACCUCAGAGAUACACAAAUAAUCACCUAGCCAUCUUGGUGCUAUGUGAAUCCUGUAUUACAAAUAAUUAAACAGCAAUAUUGUUCAUUUA
rnacentral:lncRNA from 1 species